rnacentral:rRNA from 1 species
UGCAAGUCGAGCGGAAACGAUCCUAGCUUGCUAGGAGGCGUCGAGCGGCGGACGGGUGAGUAAUGCAUAGGAAUCUGCCCGGUAGUGGGGGAUAACUUGAGGAAACUCAAGCUAAUACCGCAUACGCCCUACGGGGGAAAGCAGGGGCUCUUCGGACCUUGCGCUAUCGGAUGAGCUUAUGUCGGAUUAGCUGGUUGGUGAGGUAACGGCUCACCAAGGCGACGAUCCGUAGCUGGUCUGAGAGGAUGAUCAGCCACAUCGGGACUGAGACACGGCCCGAACUCCUACGGGAGGCAGCAGUGGGGAAUAUUGGACAAUGGGGGCAACCCUGAUCCAGCCAUGCCGCGUGUGUGAAGAAGGCCCUCGGGUUGUAAAGCACUUUCAGCGAGGAAGAAUGCUUGUCGGUUAAUACCCGGCAAGGGAGACAUCACUCGCAGAAGAAGCACCGGCUAACUCCGUGCCAGCAGCCGCGGUAAUACGGAGGGUGCGAGCGUUAAUCGGAAUUACUGGGCGUAAAGCGUGCGUAGGCGGCUUGAUAAGCCGGUUGUGAAAGCCCCGGGCUCAACCUGGGAACGGCAUCCGGAACUGUUAGGCUAGAGUGCAGGAGAGGAAGGUAGAAUUCCCGGUGUAGCGGUGAAAUGCGUAGAGAUCGGGAGGAAUACCAGUGGCGAAGGCGGCCUUCUGGACUGACACUGACGCUGAGGUACGAAAGCGUGGGUAGCAAACAGGAUUAGAUACCCUGGUAGUCCACGCCGUAAACGAUGUCGACUAGCCGUUGGGGUCCUCGAGACCUUUGUGGCGCAGUUAACGCACUAAGUCGACCGCCUGGGGAGUACGGCCGCAAGGUUAAAACUCAAAUGAAUUGACGGGGGCCCGCACAAGCGGUGGAGCAUGUGGUUUAAUUCGAUGCAACGCGAAGAACCUUACCUACCCUUGACAUCGUGCGAACUUUCCAGAGAUGGAUUGGUGCCUUCGGGAGCGCACAGACAGGUGCUGCAUGGCUGUCGUCAGCUCGUGUUGUGAAAUGUUGGGUUAAGUCCCGUAACGAGCGCAACCCUUGUCCCUAUUUGCCAGCGAUUCGGUCGGGAACUCUAGGGAGACUGCCGGUGACAACCCGGAGGAAAGGUGGGGACGACGUCAAGUCAUCAUGGCCCUUAC